rnacentral:rRNA from 1 species
UGGGGAAUCUUGCGCAAUGGGCGAAAGCCUGACGCAGCAACGCCGCGUGGAGGAUGAAGGCCCUUGGGUUGUAAACUCCUGUCGGCUGGGAAGAAAUCGUUUGCGGCUAAUACCCACAGACGUUGACUGUACCAGCAAAGGAAGCCCCGGCUAACUCUGUGCCAGCAGCCGCGGUAAUACAGAGGGGGCCAGCGUUAUUCGGAAUUAUUGGGCGUAAAGGGCGCGUAGGCGGCCAUGCGUGUCUUCCGUGAAAUCCCUCGGCUCAACCGAGGACGUGCGGAAGAAACUGCGAGGCUCGAGUCCGGAAGAGGGGGGCGGAAUUCCCAGUGUAGCGGUGAAAUGCGUAGAUAUUGGGAGGAACACCAGUGGCGAAGGCGGUCCCCUGGGCCGGAACUGACGCUGAGGCGCGAAAGCGUGGGUAGCAAA